AUUGCACGCUGGCGGCAGGCCUAACACAUGCAAGUCGAGCGAGCGGCGGACGGGUGAGUAAUGCCUAGGAAUCUGCCUGAUGGAUGGGGAUAACCACCGGAAACGGUAGCUAAUACCGCAUACCAUCAGAUGUGCCCAGAUGGGAUUAGCUAGUAGGUGGGGUAACGGCUCACCUAGGCGACGAUCCCUAGCUGGUCGGAGAGGGUGACCAGCCACACUGGAACUGAGAAACGGGCCGGACUCCUACGGGAGGCAGCAGUGGGGAGUAUUGCACAAUGGGCGCAAGCCUGAUGCAGCCAUGCCGCGUGGGUGAAGAAGGCCUUCGGGUUGUAAAGCACUUUCAGCGGGGAGGCGUUACCCGCAGAAGAAGCACCGGCUAACUCCGUGCCAGCAGCCGCGGUAAUAC
rnacentral:rRNA from 1 species